AUGGCGGCCCCUACAACAAAUAAGGAAGUCAUAAAGUUGAAUGGAAUUUCGACGACUUUAAAUAGAUUCAUUUCAAAGUCAAAAAAAUAUGCCAUACCUUUUUACAAGAUAUUGAAGAAAGAAGCACUUUUCAAGUGGACCCCUGAGUAUCAACAAGCCGUCACGUCCCUAAAUAUGGUCAUGUCUACUCUUCUUGUUCUAUCUCGACCUAUGUUGGGGAACGUAUAUACCUUUAUUUGGUUCUAUUUGAGGAGGAAUUAA